UACGUAGGGGGCAAGCGUUGUCCGGAAUCAUUGGGCGUAAAGCGCGCGUAGGCGGCCCGGUAAGUCCGUUGUGAAAGUCAAAGGCUCAACCUUUGAACGCCGAUGGAUACUGCCGGGCUAGAGUCCGGAAGAGGCGAGUGGAAUUCCUGGUGUAGCGGUGGAAUGCGCAGAUAUCAGGAGGAACACCAAUAGCGAAGGCAGCUCGCUGGGACGGUACUGACGCUGAGACGCGAAAGCGUGGGGAGCGAACAGGAUUAGAACCCUA
rnacentral:rRNA from 1 species